rnacentral:rRNA from 2 species
CACACGACUCUCGGCAACGGAUAUCUCGGCUCUCGCAUCGAUGAAGAACGUAGCGAAAUGCGAUACCUGGUGUGAAUUGCAGAAUCCCGCGAACCAUCGAGUCUUUGAACGCAAGUUGCGCCCGAGGUCUUUCGGCUGAGGGCACGCCUGCCUGGGCGUCACGC